CUUGGGGGGGCAACAAAGGCAUGCUAGUCAUAGAGGUAGAGAGAGCUUGCUCUCUUGAGAGCGGCGGACGGGUGAGUAAUGCCUAGGAAUCUGCCUAGUGGUGGGGGAUAACGUUCGGAAACGGACGCUAAUACCGCAUACGUCCUACGGGAGAAAGCGGGGGAUCUUCGGACCUCGCGCCAUUAGAUGAGCCUAGGUCGGAUUAGCUAGUUGGUGAGGUAAUGGCUCACCAAGGCGACGAUCCGUAACUGGUCUGAGAGGAUGAUCAGUCACACUGGAACUGAGACACGGUCCAGACUCCUACGGGAGGCAGCAGUGGGGAAUAUUGGACAAUGGGCGAAAGCCUGAUCCAGCCAUGCCGCGUGUGUGAAGAAGGUCUUCGGAUUGUAAAGCACUUUAAGUUGGGAGGAAGGGUAGUAACCUAAUACGUUGCUACUUUGACGUUACCGACAGAAUAAGCACCGGCUAACUUCGUGCCAGCAGCCGCGGUAAUACGAAGGGUGCAAGCGUUAAUCGGAAUUACUGGGCGUAAAGCGCGCGUAGGUGGUUCAGUAAGUUGGAAAGUGAAAUCCCCGGGCUCAACCUGGGAACUGCUUCAAACUGCUGAGCUAAGUA
rnacentral:rRNA from 1 species